CAUGUAGGCGGUUAUAAAAGCUUGAUGUGAAAUCUCUGGGCUUAACCCAGAAACUGCAUUGAGAACUGUAUGACUAGAGUUACUAAGGGGAAACUAGAAUUCCAGGUGUAGGGGUGGAAUCUGUAGAUAUCUGGAAGAAUACCAAUGGCGAAGGCAAGUUUCUAGUAGAUAACUGACGCUGAGGUGCGAAGGUGUGGGGAGCGAACAG
rnacentral:rRNA from 1 species